UGUUAUUCAGUCUGAAGCUUCUAUAUGUGACAUGGUUUUUCGUAUUUUUGACUAUGCAUUUGAGGGUUUAUUGUUUUUUGAUGUUACUUGGUUGAUAUAGGCAGCACAGAUGAGUACUGGAAGAGGCAAGAUGCAGCACAAGUUAUGGCUCUAUUAGUUUGGGAAGGACUUGGGCUUGGAGGGGGAGCUGCUGUUGGAAACUGGAACGGGGAGAAGGAUAAGAAUAAAGUUCUUCUUGGAUUAGGCGGUGGAUAUUAUGCUCCUCGGCAUAUGGAUAUUGUUCUGUAAGU